AUGUUACUACAAGUGUCCCUCAUGAACCACAUUGCUUUCAGUUGCUUGCUACUUGUUCUGUAUUGCAGGAGCCUGUACGUGACCUGUUGCUCAGCUUCUGAAUGUGUGCUCGGAGGGUUUGUCACUGCUCAGCUGAUGCACAGCAGCUUGCAAGCAGAGGGAGCUGCACUAGGUCGUCUAAGAAAGCUCUAGGAUGGGGACAACACUGAGCAUCCACACGAGGCUAUCUGCUUGUUCAACCAGUCAUCCAGGCCACCUGAGCACUUAUCCCCAGGGAUCUUACUUCCAGCAACAGUACAGGUAAGCCCAAUGUUUGCCUUGAGAGAGGUACUGUAAGUACCCACAAGCACGAUGUGACCCUCUUUGUGUAGAAAACAGAGAUUUUCCAUUUUAAUUGCUUCCUGUGCGACACAUUUCGUUAGGGCCCAGCUUCUCGCCAGUUGAGCUCCUCACAGCACUUGUCUCCUGCUGUGCAUUUAAUUACUACCGUGAAAGUCCGUCAGCAAAAGGCCAAUCAAUUUGAAAGAUUAACGAAUCUCACGCUUUACCUGUCUCCUCCCCCCCAAAAUUAGAAAGCCCACUCUGUAGUUUCCAGCGCGCAUCUAUCAUUACAUACUCCUGGGUCUCAGGUAAAUUAGCAACCUGAUUCUUUCCCCUGCUGUCACUUAGAAGAAAAGGGCUUCUUAUUUGCCAUCCAAGGAAAAGUACAGUAAGCCUAGAACUAGAUAAAAGGGGAGUAAUCAAAUAUAUUUAACUGUACUCAGCCAAAUCCCAUUAUUUGUAUAGAUGUUAGCUGGAGCAUUUGAAGAGUUAGGAUAGCCUUGUCUUUAUUGGGAAAUAAUGCUGCUUUAUUGAAAAGUGCAAUUUCUGAGCUAGUGUUCUUCCUUUUACUUAAAAUGAGAAGUUCACCUUUAUAAAUACAUAUUUACAUAUAUAUGUAGGAAUUGCUGUUAGAUGUUAAAAAAAAAAAAAAAAAG
rnacentral:lncRNA from 1 species